GUGAGUAAUACAUCGGAACGUGCCCGAUCGUGGGGGAUAACGGAGCGAAAGCUUUGCUAAUACCGCAUACGAUCUACGGAUGAAAGCAGGGGACCGCAAGGCCUUGCGCGGACGGAGCGGCCGAUGGCAGAUUAGGUAGUUGGUGGGAUAAAAGCUUACCAAGCCGACGAUCUGUAGCUGGUCUGAGAGGACGACCAGCCACACUGGGACUGAGACACGGCCCAGACUCCUACGGGAGGCAGCAGUGGGGAAUUUUGGACAAUGGGCGAAAGCCUGAUCCAGCCAUGCCGCGUGCAGGAUGAAGGCCUUCGGGUUGUAAACUGCUUUUGUACGGAACGAAAAGCCUUUUUCUAAUAAAGAGAGGUCAUGACGGUACCGUAAGAAUAAGCACCGGCUAACUACGUGCCAGCAGCCGCGGUAAUACGUAGGGUGCGAGCGUUAAUCGGAAUUACUGGGCGUAAAGCGUGCGCAGGCGGUGAUGUAAGACAGAUGUGAAAUCCCCGGGCUCAACCUGGGAACUGCAUUUGUGACUGCAUCGCUGGAGUGCGGCAGAGGGGGAUGGAAUUCCGCGUGUAGCAGUGAAAUGCGUAGAUAUGCG
rnacentral:rRNA from 1 species